UCAUUACAGAAUUGAGCGAGAGGGCUAGAGCAAUCACACAAGGUGAUUCAGGGGCAGCGCCUUGGAGGACCGAACUUACGUAUGUGGCAAAAUAUAGGGAUGACUUGUGGCUAGGGGUGAAAGGCCAACCAAGAUCGGAUAUAGCUGAUUUUUCGUGAAAUCUAUUUCAGUAGAGCGUAUGAUGUUGAUGGCCCGAGGUAGAGCACUCAAUGGGCUAAGGUGGCCCAAUUUCGCCUUACCAACCCUAGGGAAACUCCGAAUACAGGCCUAGAUCGUUUGUAUAGACAGACUUUUGGGGUGCUAAGAUCCAAAGUCGAGAGGGAAAUAGCCGAGAUUGUACGCUAAGGUCCCUAAGCAAUCACUUAGUGGAAAAGGAAGUGAUUGAACGAUGACAACCAUCAAGAGUUAGUUUUAGAUGUCCUUAAAAAUCAAUACAGUCGGUGACCGAUAUUUUUUGCCAAAGGGUUAAAUGGAAAAUUGGUUCAGGAGAAAUUGUCAAAUUUUGGGAGGAUAAUUGGAGUGAAGGAGGACCUUUGUGUUUAAAAUUCCCCGCCCUAUACAGAAU
rnacentral:ncRNA from 1 species